rnacentral:misc_RNA from 1 species
GGAAAAUUGAAUACUUGAGAAGUCUAAAGUUUAAGAAUGUCCUCCUACAUAAAGGCCACUAGAAAAUUUACAUGAACAAAAUGAUGAAAAGAUGAAGAAUAUACCCCUUGCAGGCUUGCACACUCUUUCUGGAUUUUUGUAUUUUGGGGUUAGCACUCUUAGUUGUACGUAUAGUUGAACUGUGGAUUGCUUUAAAUUGCUGGAGGAAAAGGCUAUCGGAUGUGAAAUGAUGCGAAAG